AGUGAACGCUGGCGGUAGGCCUAACACAUGCAAGUCGAACGGCAGCACAGAGGAGCUUGCUCCUUGGGUGGCGAGUGGCGGACGGGUGAGGAAUACAUCGGAAUCUACUUUUUCGUGGGGGAUAACGUAGGGAAACUUACGCUAAUACCGCAUACGACCUACGGGUGAAAGCAGGGGAUCUUCGGACCUUGCGCGAUUGAAUGAGCCGAUGUCGGAUUAGCUAGUUGGCGGGGUAAAGGCCCACCAAGGCGACGAUCCGUAGCUGGUCUGAGAGGAUGAUGAGCCACACUGGAAAUGAGACACGGUCCAGACUCAUACGGGAGGCAGCAGUGGGGAAUAUUGGACAAUGGGCGCAAGCCUGAUCCAGCCAUACCGCGUGGGUGAAGAAGGCCUUCGGGUUGUAAAGCCCUUUUGUUGGGAAAGAAAUCCAGCCGGCUAAUACCUGGUUGGGAUGACGGUACCCAAAGAAUAAGCACCGGCUAACUUCGUGCCAGCCGCCGCAGUAA
rnacentral:rRNA from 1 species